rnacentral:rRNA from 1 species
CCGUAGGUGAACCUGCGGAGGGAUCAUUACCGAGUUAUACAACUCCCAAACCCACUGUGAACCUUACCUCAGUUGCCUCGGCGGGAACGCCCCGGCCGCCUGCCCCCGCGCCGGCGCCGGACCCAGGCGCCCGCCGCAGGGACCCCAAACUCUCUUGCAUUACGCCCAGCGGGCGGAAUUUCUUCUCUGAGUUGCACAAGCAAAAACAAAUGAAUCAAAACUUUCAACAACGGAUCUCUUGGUUCUGGCAUCGAUGAAGAACGCAGCGAAAUGCGAUAAGUAAUGUGAAUUGCAGAAUCCAGUGAAUCAUCGAAUCUUUGAACGCACAUUGCGCCCGCCAGCAUUCUGGCGGGCAUGCCUGUUCGAGCGUCAUUUCAACCCUCGAGCCCCCCCCGGGGGCCUCGGUGUUGGGGGACGGCACACCAGCCGCCCCCGAAAUGCAGUGGCGACCCCGCCGCAGCCUCCCCUGCGUAGUAGCACACACCUCGCACCGGAGCGCGGAGGCGGUCACGCCGUAAAACGCCCAACUUUCUUAGAGUUGACCUCGGAUCAGGUAGGAAUACCCGCUGAACUUAAGCAUAUCAAUAAGCGGAGGA